AUGGCCACCUGCCUCUCUGAUAUCAUCAAUGACCAUUCCAUUGACUUCCUUAGGUUGCAAGAAACCUUGAAGAAGGAUUUUACUCUUAAACUUAUUAGAAAACUUGAUCCCUUCAAUUCUUUUCAUUGGGAAUGGAUUCCUGCUAUCGGGAAAUCGGGGGGCAUCCUCUGUGGUAUUCGCAUUAGCAACCUGGAGUUGCUACAAUGCACCAAAGGGGAUUAUAUCCUGCAAAUGCAUGUUAGAGACCUUAAGACCAAAAAUAUCUGGAGCUUCCUAGUGGUUUAUGGUUCUGCUCAUGAGGAGCACAAGGGAGAGUUCUUGAUGGAGCUGGCCUCCUUUUGCCACAACACUGACGUACCUUAUAUAGUUGGGGGCGACUUCAAUAUUUUGAGACAUGAUGGAGAGAAAAACAAAAAAAAUGCACAGAUCUAA
rnacentral:rRNA from 1 species